rnacentral:rRNA from 1 species
GUCCACGCCGUAAACGAUGGAUGCUAGGUGUGGGAGGUAUCGACCCCUUCCGUGCCGCAGUUAACGCAAUAAGCAUCCCGCCUGGGGAGUACGGCCGCAAGGUUGAAACUCAAAGGAAUUGACGGGGGCCCGCACAAGCAGCGGAGCAUGUGGUUUAAUUCGACGCAACGCGAAGAACCUUACCAGGACUUGACAUCUGAUUAAGCUUGUGGAAACACAAGGUCCCUUCGGGGGAAUCAAGACAGGUGGUGCAUGGUUGUCGU